GGCAUGGUGGCUUAGUGUUUAGCACCGUUGCCUCACACCUCCGGGGUUGGGAGUUCGAACCUCGCCUCUGCCC